AGGAAUCUUGCGCAAUGGGCGAAAGCCUGACGCAGCGACGCCGCGUGAGGGAUGAAGGCCUUCGGGUUGUAAACCUCUGUCAGGGGGGAAGAAUCCGGAGUCGGUGAAUAACCGCCUCCGCUGACGGUACCCCCAGAGGAAGCACCGGCUAACUACGUGCCAGCAGCCGCGGUAAUACGUAGGGAGCAAGCGUUGUUCGGAUUUACUGGGCGUAAAGGGCGCGUAGGCGGCGCGGUAAGUCACUUGUGAAAUCUCUGAGCUUAACUCAGAACGGCCAAGUGAUACUGCAGUGCUAGAGUGUAGAAGGGGCAAUCGGAAUUCUUGGUGUAGCGGUGAAAUGCGUAGAUAUCAAGAGGAACACCUGAGGUGAAGACGGGUUGCUGGUCUAACACUGACGCUGAGGCGCGAAAGCCAGGGGAGCAAA
rnacentral:rRNA from 1 species